rnacentral:lncRNA from 1 species
CCCUGCUCAACAGCGUGCUCCUGGUGGUACUGCCACCCGUAACGGGUACUGGCUUUGCUAACAUCCUGACGAGACGUCGGGGAGAGACGGGAAGUGGCAGGUUGGGCAAGAUAGAGGAGGAAAGGACUCUACCUCAUGGCUUGUCCAGAAGAGGGCAGGGCCACCCCUGCAGCCAGGCCUCCCGGGCCCUGGAGGUAGGAGGGGGACGAUGGCCUCUAAGAGCACUCUGAGACCAGGAGCCUGUUCUCUCGGGCCUGAAGGCUUCGCUUCCACUGUUCUGCGCUGCCGCCCUGGCCUGGCCACCUCCCCUCCACUGUGUGGCUGGCUCUUCUCUGCCUUCUGCUACCUGAUGGGAUCUCCCACUCGCCUCCACGAGGAUCUGAGAGGAAAGGGUGCUGAGGAGAGGAGCGUGGAGUGGGCAGGCUCUUGAUGCCAAGCCAAGAAUCUGCAUGGCUCAUUUGAAACUUCGCAGUGCCCUUUAUCCCUUGUUCUCUUUUAUGUAUAAGCUCAUCUUUCUCCCAUACAGUUGUAAACCCCAAAGGGUAGGGACUGUAUUCGGUUCCUUAUUUAUAUCGUGUAAGACAGUGACUCUCAAACUCAUCAGAAUCACCUGGGGAGUUUUAAAAACUUGAUUCCUCCAGAAACCAUAAAGACCAAAGAUUUAAAAAUAUCACCAUAUUAAAACAGAAUGAAGCAAAAUCCUUCUGUAAAGCUAAGAAAUUAUAAGCAAGGGGAAAACAGUAUUUGGAAUAUAGAUGGAAGACACACUAAUUUCUUUAAUUUGCAACAAAUGUCUAUAAAUAAGAAAUAUACAAACAACUCAAUAAAUGCUGGGCCAGGAAUCUGAACUGGCAGAACAUGGAAAAGAAAUACCAGUGACCAAGAAACAUAUGAAGAGCUGCUCAUCCUUCCUCAGAAAUAAAGAGACGCAAAUCAGAACAAUGCCAGACCACUUUUCAUGAAUCUGAUUAGCAAAAAUUAUAAAGUUUCAUGAUGCCCAUUGCUGAUGAGAGUAUGGAAGCAGAUGCCAGUGAAUGCAAACUUGGUGGAUUUUGGCACCUGUGUGACAAGGUGGGGCAGUGGUUCUCACACCUGCAUGAGCUUCUGAAUCACAUGAUGAACUUUUAAAAACAUAGAUUCUCUGCGCCCCCAUCCCAUACGGCACCCACGUGUAACUAAGGGCACAAUUUGUGAAGUUCGAAAUGGUAAUAGAGACCAGACUAGUAAAUUUCAACUAAAGGAAUUUUGUCAACAUACAUCAACAUUUUUAAAACAUGAGUAACCUUUGACCCAGCAAUUCUACUGAUGGGAGCUGAUUCUGAAAUUUCCCACACAAGAGUAUCAACGUCGGCAAGAAUGGAUGCCCACAGCAGCGUUAUUUGUAUAGCAAACAACCUCAAUGUCCAUCAAUAGGAACCUGGAUAAAUAAACUGUGGCACAUUCUUAGAUCUUUUAAAGAGAUUUAGUAGGAACUCCAUUUGCUGAUAUAGAGCAGUCUCUGAGUUAUGUUGUGCAAUGAAAAAAUCAAGCAGCAGAGCAGUAUAAAUGGUGUAAUCCAUUUUCCACAUAACUUUUAAAAUGACACACCAUAUACUUUGGUAAAUGCACAAAUUCUUUUUCAAUGGAAAAUCUACAAGAAGCUGAUAACAGUGGCAACUUUGAGGGAAGGAUGAGAAGAGAGGUUCUUACCUUUCAUUCAGUACUGCUUGAUUUUCCUACUUUGUGCAUUGAUUAGUUUUAGUGGAGAACUUCAGUAAGUGUCAUCUGAAAGGUGGAGUUAUGGGACAAUUUUGGUUUCUCCUUUAGAGUUUUCUGUAAAGGAUAUUCAAUAAUUGAAGAUUCUCAGGCCAUAUACCAGAUACACUAAGUUUGGGUGGAGAUGCUGGCAUGGGACUCUAGAAAUCAGCUUGUCGUGUGAUUCUGCUCAUCAGUCAGGUUUGAGACUCACUGCAGAAGAUUCUGGAAGAAAGAUGCUCUCUUCUCUAGCUCAGGGGUUAUGAGGAUGAGAGGGUGGGGUGGCGGCUGCAGCCCUUUUGUUUCCAUGAAAGGAGAACCUGAAUGACCUUGUGCAACCUAAGGUCAAAGAAAUGCAUGGCUGGCAAGUAAACCACAGAGAGGAACUUGUCCCCUGGUACAUCAGUAGGCCACAGAAUCAUGCCUUUCCCGAAGAAGGACGUCCUGCGUCUAGACUUUUCAGUUAUGGAGCCAAUACAUCCUCUUUUUUGUUUAAUGCAGCUUGAGUUAGGUCUUUUGUCACAUGCAAUAUUAAGAAUCCUAACUGAUAGACCUCCACUGAGACAAGCUGAGUAUGUCUUUAUCUCUUGCAGACUGAAAUUGCCUAAUUCAUAAAGUAUUUCAUGAUGUUUGCAAGAUAAACCCUUGUCUGGUGCCUUGGGCUACAUCUGAUGAUUGCCUGCAAUAUUUCUGCCUCUAGAAAUGAACUGUCAAACCAAGAAGUAUGUCCUUGGAAUGCAUCCUCCACAUUAGCAAAAGAAUUAUGUGUUUUGUUUGCUCUUCAUCAUGUAACUCUUGAAUAAAUUUGGAUGCAACAGAUAAAGGGCAUAACCAGGAAAUA